rnacentral:rRNA from 1 species
AUUGAACGCUGGCGGCAGGCUUAACACAUGCAAGUCGAGCGGGGUGAUGGUGCUUGCACUAUCACUUAGCGGCGGACGGGUGAGUAAUGCUUAGGAAUCUGCCUAUUAGUGGGGGACAACAUCUCGAAAGGGAUGCUAAUACCGCAUACGUCCUACGGGAGAAAGCAGGGGAUCACUUGUGACCUUGCGCUAAUAGAUGAGCCUAAGUCGGAUUAGCUAGUUGGUGGGGUAAAGGCCUACCAAGGCGACGAUCUGUAGCGGUUCUGAGAGGAUGAUCCGCCAGACUGGGACUGAGACACGGCCCGGACUCCGACGGGAGGCAGCAGUGGGGAAUAUUGGACAAUGGGGGGAACCCUGAUCCAGCCAUGCCGCGUGUGUGAAGAAGGCCUUAUGGUUGUAAAGCACUUUAAGCGAGGAGGAGGCUCUUUUGGUUAAUACCCAAGAUGAGUGGACGUUACUCGCAGAAUAAGCACCGGCUAACUCUGUGCCAGCAGCCGCGGUAA